GGCUGGCGUGGUGUAGUGGUUUGCACGUUGCAGUAUGACUCUGCAGACCAGGGUUUGAAACCCGGGUCAGCCA